AGGGGCCAGGGGGGUCUGGUUUUAUAGUCCCUUCAAGUGAAUCUGGGACGUCCGAUCAAACCGACAUUGAUCGUGUGGUUUUCCUUGAAGUAUUAGGUCGGUGGAGCAUGAUCCCCGAGUUGUACCCUGAUUGGGCAGAACAGGUGGGCGGGCGCCCUCACGACUAGGGCGGGCGCCCUAUCCCUGAGGCCUCUCGUCUUCCGCUUUGUUCCCGUGGCUUCUGGAGUCUUCUAGAUGAUAGAAAAUUGCGCGGCACGUUAAUAUCUCUAUGUAAACCCGACGUGUGGGCCUUUCUUCCGUAUUUCCUGAUAACCCCCUACAGAAAUAGACAAACACCAAAACUUGUGGAAUUCUGUCAGAUAAAACCCUAAGUCAAGGUGUUGGUUGCAUUUGGAUCCUUUUCUAUGAUUAGUUGAUGGUUAAAUGUGAGCAUUAAGGACCGUCAACAAGCUCCCCCAAGCUUAACCUUUGCUCGUCCCUGAGCAAAGAUGAACUCAAGAGUUUCUGCAGUGGCUUCAUAAAUUAAAAUACACAUGCAUUCAAACAAGAUCUCAUCUCUGGGUUAGGGUAACUGUUAAGAUUUAAACUUACUCAUAUUACCUUUCACCAUGGGGCUUGCAACCGUCACUUGUAUCUUGAGUAGUUAAAAGAUAGAACGGUCUAGUCAAGCGCUAUGUCUCUUGUUCUUCGAUUAACUAUAGCUCUGGAGUUUUUGCAGAUUUUCAAAUAAAACUCAGAGAUUCCUUGUAUGACUCUCUCUAGUCUCUCCUUUGUGGUAUUUCUGGAUCCUUACCAAUGCAGUAAUGGUGCACGCCUUCUCUCAAAGUAUGUGGUAUUUUUGGUAUGAAGCAUAGUGGCAUUACCUUCUCUCUCACCCUACUCUAAUAAGGUUUUGAUAUCUGGAGCUCAUAGGUGGGAGACAGCUAAUACAUACUUACAAGACAUUUAUUGCAUAGUCAAACCAUGGAUCCAGAAGAACAAGUCAAUAAGUCAAAUCAAGAUGUGCAUGUGUGGCGAAUGAUGUAUGGUGAUGAUGGUGAUAAUGAUGGUGAAAGUCUAAUUCUACUUUUGCUCUUUUGAGGGGAUACAUACCUUUCUUGCACUUUGAAGCUUUUUGGAGAGAAUGAGAUGCUCUAUAUUUUCUUUUUAUUUCCUCUCAGGUGGGUAUCUUGUACCCCUAAUUCUACUGUCAGACACUUGUCCAUUUUUACCUCUCGUCUCACUUUUUUCUUUUUUCUUCGAGGUUCCGGGCACUUGCCCCUUUUUAUUUCCUCGUAUUCUUCAUUUUUUUUUCUUUUUUUAGAGCACUCAUCCUCCUAGAAUAAUGUGGCAAGUGGUAGUAACCAAGAUAACUCGAGCAUGUAUUUCACAGGGAAUAACAGGGAUAGGAAAAUAUUUUUGGCUAUUCUCUCCCGGAUUAGGAGAAGAAUAAUUUUGGGUGAAUCUGGAGAUGGAAAUGAGUGGAUAUAUGUGGAUGGUACUUCCGGAGUAGAAGUAGCAUGUAUGAGUGAACGUGCAAGUGAAUCUUGAUUUUAACCACAUGACAAGCUCCUAAGGGUCUACACAGCUUGACCACACUCAAUGCUCAUAAGCAGUAAAAAGUAAAUAUGUGGCUCAAAGUCUAGCAAGCAUGUAUAUAUGGCUGUGGUAGGAUUUUAAUCUCUCAUCAUACAGGAACUCAUCAUGUGUUAUUUUAAAGAUUUUUCAAAGAUAAAAUUCUCCAGAAUUCUAGCAUCUCUAGGAACAGAUAAACAGCAGCUCAACCUUCCCAUAUCAUAUCCGUUAACGACUUAGACUUUAGAUCAAGUACUCUUCCCACAAGUUCAGGUUUAGAGCAAAUCUUAAUUAAUAACAGUCAUGCCUAAACUUGAGAGAGAUUUCAAUUUUAAGAACUAGUCAUGGCAGAGCAACUAUUCAUCAUUUCCAUGUGAGAGCUUAUCAUGAGGGUUCAUAGCAAACUUUAUUUAUUUAUUUAUUUAGCAAACUAAGCAAAGAUAUAUAUAAGCACAAAAUCUUUAUUUGGGUUUCUAUGAUUAUUCAUCUUUUUAUUAUUAGAGUAAAGUAUAAACUUGAGUAGAAUACUUAGCUGGAUAAAUGGGGGUGCUCUCCCCCAAGCUGGAUUUUGACGUGGUUUCUUCUAAUGUAGCUAGCAAGUGGUGAAGGUGUAUUUGAAUGUCAGCAGCACCCUAACAGCGAUUAGGAUGUCCUCCGUCUGCUAGUCUACUUUGAUCCUUGAAUUCUGUGGAGCUCAAAUAGACAACAAAGCUUUGUGGAACUAGUUAAGUGUUAGCAUAAAUAUCUAGCCUUUAUGAUGUUGAGCCUCCUCAAUAAAUGUUACUCUCUUUAGUAGGAUCACAAUCUUAUUUAUAUUUCAUUUUUAUAGGACAGGAAUAUAUAUUUAUUUUUACGCCACCACAGUGAAUGUACUUAUGGGUUUUAUGCCAUGAGCAUACUCACAUGGGGCCUACUAUUUUUAACAUUUUUAUUUUCUUUUUAAGAUGGUGUGAACCUGAUUAACUAAGCAAACUAUUUUAAAAUAAUUGAAAGGAAAAAGAUAACUACCAAGUUUACCUCUUGGCAAGGCGUUCGGUGUUUUUAAGUCCUCCGAACGGGACUCUCCAUUUUCUCAUUCGUCCUGGGAUUCGCUGGAUGGCGUAGUCGGUGGUUCCGGCGGUGCUUCCUCUUCGUGUAUAACUAUCUUCUCUCUCCACACCUGAGUCGGUGCUACGUUCUCCUCAGGACAGUUCUGUUCAAGUUGUAUGUCUUCAGACCUUGCUACUUUUCCUUCGUAGUCUGCUCAUCCAUCCUUGAUGAUUUGCCUCCUCUGGUUGCGGUUGCGUCGUCUUCUUCUUGUCCUAACCUGUUUAGAGUCUUGAACUAUAUAGUUAGGGUCAGUAAAAUAGCGGUGUACCUUCUCAGAAGUGCAUGUGGACUUCUCUGGUUCCAAUGUAGAUGAUUGCUUUAACGGUGCUGAGGAAGGGUCUCUUAAGGAUGAUGGAUGGAUCGUACUCGUCUUCUCCCAUGUCAAUAACCUUAAAAUCAUCUGGAGCUGAAUGUAUGUUGGUUGUAGGGGCAUGGUUCCAUGCAGGAGUUGAUAAGUGACUGCAGCCAUUAUCUUGACGUCAGAUCCAGUGUCGUAGAGUGUCUUCUAAAAAGAGUAUCCUUUGAUUGUGCACUCGAUGCUUGGAACACCAGGGUCGUCCUUCUUGAUCAAGAAAGGCGACUUGAGUUGACGAUCUUGACCUCCUUGAGCUGCAGUGACCAUCUUAGCUGACUUGGUCCACAUUUGCUUAUUCAUGUUCCUCCGGUUGGUCCUUCCUUGGUUCAUGUCAGGAUUGCUCUAAGAUUUGUGUAAUCUUGUUCUUGAAGGAAAACGUCUCCGUCCUUCCCUUGAUGUAGAAACUGAUCUUGGUAGUAGUAGCGUAGAUGACAGCUCCUGAGGUGUUCAGGAAUGGCCUCGCUAGGAUGAUGGGUGCCCUCUCAUCAGUAUCAGUCUCUAUCACCACGAAGUGUGCUGGAGCGUAUAAGGUACCAACUCGGACGUAGAGGUGCUUCAAUAUUCUCUUUGGGAAACUUAGCGUACGAUCUGUAAGCUGCAAACACAUGGUUGUUUCUAAUAAAGGAUGUGUAAAGAAUUUUUCAUAGAGUACCCUGGGCAUAAUGUUGAUGCUGGAGCCAAAGUCACAGAGUGCUUCUGGGAAGUCCACUAUGCCGAUGGAGAUCGGGAUGACAGGGCGUCCUGGAUUGUCUCUCUUGACCGGCAGAAGGUCAGUAAUUACUACCACAAUGGGGUUACUCCAGUAGUUACGUCCUCAAGCAUCUCAGGGUAGUGAUUGCCUGAGUGUCCAGUCUCACUAGUGUGUUUGUGCUCGUAGAUUUAGGUUCUUCACUUGGUGGAGUAUGGGAGUUGUAAAAGUCCUUCAUAUUUUGCUCAAAGUGUACCUGCUCAUAGAGACAAGGCAAAGAUAAAGUGCAUGAGCCCUGUUGGUGGAAAACACCAACAGAACCAAAAGUGUAUUUGUUCUCUCUAACCUUAAGCAUAGUGAGAAAGACAAAGUUGAUGGAUAAUAAGACCAUGAGUGUAACAUUUAAAACAUUCGUCAGAUCAGAUCACUCAACCUAAUGGAAAGAUAAUCUAUCUAUACUUAUGUUUAUAUAUAUAUAUAUAUCUUCCAAAGAUUGAGUGUGCAACAUUUUAGCUCAUAUGAUUAGGAGUGUGGGAUCACAAAGGUGGAAGGACUAAACAUAUUGAAUCGAUUGGGUUGGUUAAUCUAGAGUUGUAAAUCAUACAUGUUUGUCUCUUUUACUCAUGUGAACGCCAGAACCAAGGAGAAGCUUAUAAAAGUGAUAGUCAAGUACUUUAAGAUGUUACCUUACUUGAAGAGUGAUGGUACAGUAUCAGCUUGUGGAAGCUUUCCUCUCUUAGCGGUUGUGCAUCGUGUUUUUGGCACCCUCCAUGGAUCAUCUCUUGUGAGCUAUGCCUUCCUUGUGUAAAUUGUUAAACUUCUUGUGUGUCUCUCUUUGUCUCCAAUGUGAGUUUAUCUUAGGACUUCCCAAGUUGAUGUUGAAAGUUUUAUUUUUCUGCAGGGGUUAGUCUGACAAAAUAUACCAAUGUCUACACAAGCAGUUUUUAGUUCAAUAACCAAACUAGACUCCAUGUCUAAUUAGAUUAAGGAAGGUUGUUUAACCUAAGCACCAUGCUUAAUUUAAAAACCAAUAGAAGUAUGUACAGUACUUCCAAACUAACACUUACUAGGAUAAACAAAGGUAGCGUGAUGGCUUUUAUAGAGAUCUACUCAAGUGGAGAUGAAGUAGUGUGAUUACUAUUUAACAAAUUGAGCAUGUCUCAAAGGUAGGGACAACCAACAUAGCAACAUGGCAAAUGAUGUUUUUAUAUAAAGUACUCCCCCAAGCUUGAAUUUUGCAAAAUUCAAGUUUGGAUGAAUUUAAUUCAAUGUUGCAUGAUGAUUGGUUGUACAUACCUUGUGCUUGUCAUUCAUCCGAUCUUCUUGCUCGAAUCCUAGAAAGGUUAGUGACAAGAAUACCCGAAGGAAUUUUUUUACAAUUAUUCUUAUAUGCUCAAUACACAAGGUAAUGUUGCGAAAAGCUCAUGUUACGAUCUGAUCAAUGCUUGUUUUAGGACACUAAGCUUGUCCUUGGGAAACCAUAAAUUUAUGUCGGCGAAGUGGUUUCCCCUCCAACGCUGACCUAUAUCAAGAUCAACUCAAUGAGAUCUGCAAUAUUUAAUAUAGACAUAUUCAUCGACAACCGCCCUUUUAAAGUUUUUAUAAAUAGAAAGGAAGAGGGGGUUGGAGAUCUCGAAUGUGGUGAUGUUGGAGAGACCAAUGGAUUGUGAAGAUGUUGCAUAUGAGCAUGGAGUAAAUGAAGUGGCUAUGAAAUAAAUUCCAUGCUCAUUAAUGCUUAGAGUGAAAUCCAUGUGGUAUGGUGAAAAUGAUAAGGUGAGUGUGGUAAAAAAGGAAAAGAAAAAGGAUACACAGACGACUUGGUUCGAAACUAGCACAACUACCGUUCCCCGGCAACGGCGCCAGAAAGCUUGUUGGGUAUUUUAAACGCAAACAGAAAAAUCCGCAAGCGCACGGAUACCGAUGUAGCCUUCACCCGGGAGUAUUCCAGAGUAUCGAUUUUCCACAGAGAACGUGAGUGCACUAAUUAAGAUCCAAGAUCGCCCAAGGAUAACUAUAUAAUUAUUUUUGGUGGGAAGAGAGGAAGAUUCCUGAGAGUUCUCUAGUUGAGCUAAGAAUCAAUAAUUACUUCAAGAUUAUCUAUUUUGGGACAUCAGAACACUAACCAUAGAAAGAGAUGAGAAGGGGGCUAGGAAGCUCCGACUACGGUCCUACAAACACCGAUCCGAACGAGGUGGAAUACGUCGACCGUUAGGGCUGUCACUACCCUAAGGCUACCACAACAAUCCACAGGAGUUAUGAAUUGAAGAACCUGGAGAACGAUGAAGAACGAACCAGUUGCUGCAAAAGUACAAUGUUGAGGAAGAUUCGACAGAUCCGGCUCCUCCUCCGCUCUCCUCUUCUCUCUCCCUAUUUUCUAGAUUACAACUAGAACUAACUAGAACUAGAACUAGAGGAACUAGAACUAGAACUAGAUGAACUAGAACUAGAUCUAGAUGAACUAGAGGUAGAACUAGAAGAACUAGAGGGAUCCUCUCUACUUGGAUGAAGAAUUGAAACCCUAGCUUUGAUUCUGUAGAAGAGGUAUGAUCUCCAGGGGCCAGGGGUCUGGUUCUAUAGUCCCUACAAGUGAAUCUGAGCCGUCGGAUCAAACCGACAUUAAUCGCACAGUUUUCCUUGAUCCUUUAGGUCGGUGGAGCAAAAUCCGCGAAACGUGUCCUGAUUGGGCACUGUAGCUGGGCGGGCGCCCUGCCUCCGAGCCCGAUUGCCUUCCCGUUCGGUCCCAUGGCUUCUGGAGUCUUCUAAUGUUAGAAAAUUGUGCGGCACGUUAAUAUCUCUAUGUAAACCCGACGUGUGGGCCUUUCCUUCGUAUUUCCUGAUAACCCCCUGCAGAAAUAGACAAACACCAAAAGUCGUGGAAUUCUGUCAGAUAAAACCCUAAGUCUGGGUGUUGGUUGCAUUUGGAUCCUUUUCCAUGAUUAGUUGAUGGUUAAAUAUGAGCAUUAAGGACCGUCAACAACAUGCUUGCUAGACUUUGAGCCACAUAUUUACUAUUUACUGCUUAUGAGCAUUGAGUGUGGUCAAGCUGUGUAGACCCUUAGGAGCUUGUCAUGUGGUUAAAUCAAGAUUCACUUGCACGUUCACUCAUAUAUGCUACUUCUACUCUGGAAGUACCAUCCACAUAUAUCCACCCAUUUCCAUCUCUAGAAUCACCCAAAAAUAUUAUACUCCUAAUCCGGGAGAGAAUAGCCAAAAAUAUUUCUGUUUUUUCCUUGUGAAAUAAAUUCUCAAGUUAUCUUGUUACUACCACUUGCUAUAUUAUCUCAAGAGAUGAAUGCUCUAAAAAAAGAGAGAAAAAAGAUACGAGGAAAUAAAAAGGAGCAAGUGCUCGGAACCUCGAAAGAAACGAAAAAAGUGAGACGAGAGGUAAAAAAAGACAAGUGUCCGACAGUAGAAUUAGGGGUACAAGAUACCCACCUGAGAGAAAAGAAAAAGAAGAGCAUCUCAUUCUCCUCACUAUUCAAAAAGCAAGGAAGGUAUGUAUCCCCUCAAGGAGCAAAGUAGAAUUAGAAUUUCACCAUUGCUACCACCAUCAUCACCAUACACCAUUCAUUCGCCACACAUGCACAUCUUGAUUUGACUUAAUGAUUUGUUUCUUUCGAUCCAUGGUUUGACUAUGCAAUACAUGUCUUGUAAGUAUGUAUACUUUAUCUCCCACCUAUGAGCUCCAGAUAUUAAAAGCCUUAUUAGAGUAGGGUGAGAGAGAAGGCAAUGUCACUAUGCUUCAUACCACAAAUACUACAUAUCUUGAGAGAAGGCAUAUACCAUCACUGCCUUGGUAAGGAUCCAGAAAUACCACAAAAGAGACAUCUGAGAGAAUCAUACAAGGAAUCUCUGAGUUUUAUUUGAAAAUCUGCAAAAAACCCCAGAGCUAUAGCUGAUCAAGAAUAAGAGACAUGGCACUUGACUAGACUGUUCUAUCUUUUAACCACUCAAGACAGAAGUGACGGUUACAAGUCCCAUGGUGAAAGGUAAAGUAAGUAAGUUUUAAGUCUUGACAGUUUACUCUAACUCAGAGAUGAGAUCUCAUUUAAAAAGCAUGUGUACCGUCAAUUUUUAAAGAUAUUGCAACAACUUCUAAUCCAUCGCUGAGUCUAUCCUUGCUCAGGGACGAGCAAGAGAUAAGCUUGGGGGAGUUUGUUGACGGUCCUUAAGUAUCAAAUUUAAUUAUCAGAUAAAUAAAGAAAAGGAUCCAAAUGAAAUCAACAUCAAGACUUAGGGAUUUAUCUGAUGGAAUUCCACGAGUUUUGGUGUUUGUCUAUUUCUGCAGGGGGUUAUCAGGAAAUAUGGAAGAAAGGCCCACACGUCGGGAUUACAUAGAGAUAUUAACGUGCCGCGCAAUUAUCUUACAUCUAGAAGACUCUAGAAGCCACGAGACCGAAGCGGAGACAAAGCGGGGCCAGAGGCAGGGCGCCCGCCCUGUUCCCUUAGGCGCCCGCCCCCUCCCUGAGUCCAAUCAGGACUCUGCUUCGUGGGAGAUCUCCACCGACCAAAAGGAUGAAUCUAAACCAUACAAUCUAUGUUGGUUUGAUCCAACGGCCCAUAUUCACUUGAAGGGACUAUAAAACCAGACCCCCUGGCUCCUGGAGGAGAGAGCCUCUCAACCCUAAUUCAUUAUUCUCAAGGGAGAAGAAGCCUCUGAUCAAGAUUAGAGCCACCACAUCAAUUAGAUAUCUAGAUUAGCAUAGCUACAUAGGAUUAGAACUAGAAGGAGUCAAUCUUUGAUUGGUUUCCGGAUCUGUCAAGAGGAUUCUUGGUAAUUCUCUAAUUGUGCUUCUAAUUGUUUUCUAAUUAUCUUUGUUCUUCAAUAUUAUGAAUAUGACUUUGUUCUACUUCAAUAUAUUGCUUAUGACUUUGCUCUACUUGCUUAUAUUCAAGAUUAUAUUGUUCUUAGUUUAUCAUAGUUAUGUACUUGGCUUAGUUAGAUUGGAUCUAUAUACAUGCUUAGGAUCGUAUAGCGUUUAUCCAUCGGAUCCAUGGGUAAAUGAUUGAUAUUAUUGUGUUGGCGUGGUGCUUAUACCGUAUUUAUCUGCGAUUGUACCCAAUAUGCCAGAUCGUGGGGUAGUUCGUGAUAGUGACAGCUUCAUUGAUUCUUAUAUAGUCCCCCUCUUGUGUAUUGGGCUGGCAGAGCAAUAUUAUUACAGGGGAGUGAUUGCUAUGUUUCUCAUUUACCUUGCUAAUAUCACUAUGCAUGGGCGUAGUCUUGUCUCACAAUGAUUGCUAAGUAUGCUUGCACUAACUAUGAUAAUGCUAGACUAUAUAGUUGAGAAUAACUUAGGAAAUAUUCUUGUAGUUCGUUCUAAUUCCAUGCUAAUGACUUUCUAGAGUAUCAAAUUGAGGUGCUUAUCAUAUUUAUAUGUGGCUGAUCAGAUCAAUUAUCUUUGUCACUAUUCAUUAUUUCAUAUAUCUUUUAUGUGACACUUAUCCCAGUAUGAAGAGUUAGAUAAAUGUUCUCAAUUACAUAUGCAAUGAUAAAUACUCAAUCUCAUAUUCUAUUCUGUAAUCAAUAUUAAUGAUUGCUAAUCCCUUCCCAGUGGUAAAAAUAUAAAUAACGAUACCUGGAAUACUUCCCGGUUAAAAUGCUACAUCGGUGUUAAUCUGUGCACUUGCAGAUCCCAUUCAUUAUUUAUUUAGAAGAGCAAUUGCAUAUUUCAAUACCGCGUCUCUUAUAUCAUGCUGGGGAUGACAACUUGGCUUAAGUGGUGUGAGGGAUAUGUUUGGCAUUUUUGGUACCGUUACUAGAUUUAGAGAACCUAGUCUACUUUUGGUAAUGAUGUUAAGAAUACCCAACAGUGAGCACUUCACCCGGGAGGUUAUCCAAAGUAUCGUAUUUAUAUUUUUACCACUAGGAGAAAGAGUGCAUCUGACUAACCCAGUCUAUUACUACUAACCAUUAGGCUACAAAGAAUGUUUCUCGAUGUGAGCGAUGUAUAGAGAAUACUACAACCGUAAUCUCUUUCUAACCUUGGUAAGGAUGAUCUACUGUUCUAUUGGGAAGCUUACGGAAUCUAGACACCAUAGAGGAUGUUCAACCCGCACCUAUAAACCCUAUCCUUCCUGCUAACGAGAUAUGGCCUGCAAAGGUAACUCGGAAAUGUCACGUUCCUCGCUACUACCACGGUCCAGCUAGUCAGAGGAUAUCCAUGAGUAUCCUAGCCCAAACACCAUGUCUACGCUAGAGAUGAUUACUCUAAACUCUACGCGAAGAGAUUAAAGUAAACUCAUAAACUAAAGAACAAUAAAACAAGAACUUACUAGAAUUUAGAAGUCGAAAUACUGAAGAAUCCUAGGAGCAAGCUUCGGGUUAGGAGAACUUGAUCCCGCAGGUACAACCUCGGAGUAGACACCGACAGGCCGGGCUUCCUCCGAUCUACACCUCCACUCUAUCUCUCUCAAUCUAGUAGAAACUAGAAGAUCUAAUUCUACUCACAUUGGAUGCUAAGCCCUAAGUCUAUUUAGAGGAGAGGUAUUCUUUCGAGGGCUCCUCUCAACUCUAUGAUGAACUUGUUCUCCUCCAGGGGCCAGGGGGUCUACUUAUAUAGUUCCCUCAGGUGAACGUGGGUCGUUGGAUCAAACCGACAUUGAUUGAACGGUUAUCCUUGAUCCUUUAGGUCGGUGGAGCAUAAUCCUGAAAGAGAGUCCUGAUUGGACUCCAAAGGGGGGCGGGUGCCCUGGUCCGUAGGGCGAGCGCCCUGGGCUAGGCCCCGUUCUGCCUCUGCUUCGUUCUCGUGGCUUCUGGAGUCUUCUAGAUGGUAGAAAAUUGUGCGGUGCGUUAAUAUCUCUAUGUAAUCCCGUCAUGUGGGCCUUUCUUCCUUAUUUCCUGAUAACCCCCUGCAGAAACAGAUAAAAAACAAAACUCGUGGAAUUCUAUCAGAUCAAACCGUAAUCCUAGGUGUUGUUUGCAUAUUGGUCCUUUCUCUUGUUUAUUUGAUAAUUAAAAUUGAUACUUAAGAACUGUCAACAAAUACCCCCAUACUUAGGCUUUUACUCGUCCUCGAGAAAAGGAUGGUUAAGAAAAAUAUCUAGGGUAAAACAUUUUAAAACAUUUUCUUCAUACCUGCAGGGUGUUGUAAAAAUUCACUGUGUACUGUAGUUAGGGAAGUAUAUGGUUAAGAGUAGAGAUCCUUUAUUCUCAAUCCUGUUACUUGGAGUUUUUAUAUAUUUUUGAAAAGAAAUCUAGCAUACCUUUAUCCUCACAGGUUCUCUCAGGUCACUCAUUAUCUCUUAUAUCUCACUGAGGCUGUUUUAAUUUGCAAAAAUUCUCAAGCAUACUUACUUUGCAUUUAUUGCCUGAUCAAAACGGGAUCCGAGGAGAAGACUGCCAUACUCUUAGAUCAAAGACUUUGGAAAUUAAAAACAUGUCAACUCUUACUGGCAUAUUGCUUAUUAGAGGGACCAUGGGCUAUUAUUUUCUUUCUUUUCUCUUUUUUUAGGUGGAUACCGAGGUACCCCUAAUUCUACUGUCGGACACUUGUCCAUUUUUUCUGCGAGGUUAUCGAGCACUUGCUCCUUUUUAUUUCCUCGAAAUAUCCUUAUUUUUGCAUAGCCCAUGCCUCUAAUGCAAUAAUACUUUGGAAGAGUGUAUCUUUCUGAAUAAAUGUCUUGAUCUUAGGAGCAUGAUAAAUCUCUCAACAAGGGUCUAACUCAUUUUGAACAAACUCAAUACAAAGU
rnacentral:lncRNA from 1 species